rnacentral:rRNA from 1 species
UACGUAGGCAGCAAGCGUUGUUCGGAAUUACUGGGCGUAAAGAGUGUGUAGGCGGUGCUCUAAGUUCGGUGUGAAAUCUCCCGCUUAACUGGGAGGGUGCGCCGAAAACUGCGGGGCUUGAGAGUGGGAGAGGUAAGCGGAAUUCCUGGUGUAGCGGUGAAAUGCGUAGAUAUCAGGAGGAACACCAGCGGUGUAGACGGCUUACCUGGACCACGACUGACGCUGAGGCACGAAAGCGUGGGGAGCAAACAGG